AUGGGGUUCUUCUCUGGCAAGAACAGGGGAAAGGCCCCCGUCGGCCCAGCGCGCGCUCCCCUCGCCUCCACCGGCGUCUUCCCGCCGACCACUUUAGCGCAUCAGCGUCCCAGUGCAUCAGGCGAAGUGGCACUAAGAGCACCGCGUCCUCCUCCCCUACCCCGAUGUCACGCUGCCGCAAGACUGGCACUUGGAUCCCGAGAGGAUCCCAGUGCCGGCAGAGCCGCGACCGGCCCGGCGCACGCGGAGGAGGUGCGACGCCGCUGGCAACAGCUUACACCGCAGCAACGCCUCAACCCAGUCUACGCAUCAGACUCUCCCGAGUGGGAGGUCUGGUUCGCGUUGGAGCACGAGGAGCAGUGCCAUCAUGGCGUCCAUGAUGUGGAAGCUGGCAACCCGCGGUCCCUCGUCGUGCACGACGACGACCAGGAGGCGGAGGCCGCCUACCAGGCGGCGCUGGCGGCUGUCCUCCGUGAAAACGAGGAAGAGGAGCGGCGCAAGGAGGAGGAGGAGGAGGCGUACCGGGCGCGGUUGUCGGAGGCCAUGGCGCUCUCCACUGCCGGCGACCGCGUCAUCUCGCCACUGGCCCGACCAUCCCCUGAGCCGGCGCCGAUCCCCAUCAAGCCCGAGUGCUACACAUGGGACGGGAGGAGAUGUACCUGGAGCAAUGACGGCAGCGCAUGCUCGCGGGGGAGCGCCACGAGGGCGGGCGACUCGAGCAGCUGA
rnacentral:rRNA from 1 species